rnacentral:rRNA from 1 species
GCGGUAAGGCCCCUUCGGGGGUACACGAGCGGCGAACGGGUGAGUAACACGUGAGCAACCUACCCUCAACUUCGGGAUAAGCCUCGGAAACGGGGUCUAAUACCGGAUAUCAUCUCCUGCUUCAUGGUGGGGGGUUGAAAGUUCUGGCGGUUGGGGAUGGGCUCGCGGCCUAUCAGCUUGUUGGUGGGGUAAUGGCCUACCAAGGCGUCGACGAGUAGCCGGCCUGAGAGGGCGACCGGCCACACUGGGACUGAGACACGGCCCAGACUCCUACGGGAGGCAGCAGUGGGGAAUAUUGCGCAAUGGACGAAAGUCUGACGCAGCAACGCCGCGUGAGGGAUGACGGCCUUCGGGUUGUAAAGCUCUUUUGUCCGGGACGAUAAUGACGGUACCGGAAGAAUAAGCCCCGGCUAACUUCGUGCCAGCAGCCGCGGUAAUAC